UGAGAAACGGCUACCACAUCC
rnacentral:ncRNA from 2 species